ensembl:misc_RNA Y_RNA Y RNA
GGCUGGUCCAAAGGUAGUCAGUUAUCUCACUUGAUUGUUCACAGUCAGUUACAGAUUGAACUCCUUGUUCUACUACUUUCCCCCCUCCUCACUACUGCACUUGACUAGUCUUAA